AUGGCAGCAGAGAAGCAGAAGCUAGAAUUCCCAAAGUUGAGGGCCCAAGCUGGAAGGCUGCACAUCUGCGAGGCCACCUCCAGCUCCAGGUCUGGAAUCCUGCGGGGUGCAGGGGACUCGGCUCUUAACCCUCAGGAUCCUGUGUGCACCGGAGCCACAGGCACCCACCAGAGAGCCAUUUCUGCUGUUGACAGUGGAGGGGAGGCUUGGAGUCCCCCAACAGCCAGAGAGAGGGCAGGGGCCACUUCCCGGGGCCUGAACGUGUGGGAUCUGCGGGCUCGGGUCGGGCAGGCUUUGCGAGUUGGAAAGGGGUUCCUGUCUCUGCGUUCCGGGCCAGGUGGCCCCGGAGACUCGGGCCAGCAGAGCGGCAGAGCGGGCGCGGCCGGCGUCUCCCCCGGCAGCUGUCGGCCGGAACCGGGCAGGGAGGCGCCGCUGGUGACGGCACCUCAUGAAACAUUGAUGCCCCGCCGCCCCGCCGCACUGCCAUCUCCCGGCACCUGGAGCCCAAGCGGCAGCCCGGACCCCCGUGGCCAAGGGCGAGCCGCUCAGCUGCUCCCGGCCCCCAGGGCGCCCGACCCCCUGUCCCAUCGGGGCCCCAGCAGCAGCAGUCUCAUACUGGCGGCUUGGAGAGCAGGAGCCCCGGCCGCCAACUGGCUUUCCCGUCCAGCCUCCGUGAGGGGUUGUCUGGCCAUGGGCACCACCGGGUGGAACCCAGCUCCCACUAGUCCUGCCCAUCUCCCAGGGAGGGCCAGCGGGGCCACAUGGACGCGGUCCUCCCUUAGGCAGGGCCGAGCAGGGCCACCGCUGGAGGGUGCGCAGGCGAGGGACGGGGCGAGUGGCCGCAGAAGCGUCGGUGCUCCGCGGCGGGGAUCUUCUCUGGGCUCAUCAGCCCAGCCCCAGAGGAGGAGAGGUGGGGAGGGGGGACCCUGCAGGCAGGGCAGAGGUCGGGCUUUGCCCCUCCCCAGUAACUGCGCCCCCCAACACACACACAGAAAUUUCUGGGGUGGGUCUUCAAACCUCCUGGGCUGCCAAAACGUGCGCUGCGGACGCUCCCUGCCAAAAUGCAGGAGCAGCUUCCUCCCGCAGGCUGAGCAGAAAAGGGGAAAGGUCGAAUCUUAA
rnacentral:lncRNA from 1 species